AGUCGAGCGAGCUUGCCUAUUGAAAUUCUUCGGAAUGGACAUAGAUACAAGCUAGCGGCGGAUGGGUGAGUAACGCGUGGGUAACCUGCCCUUAAGUCUGGGAUACCAUUUGGAAACAGAUGCUAAUACCGGAUAAAAGCUACUUUCGCAUGAAAGAAGUUUAAAAGGCGGCGUAAGCUGUCGCUAAAGGAUGGACCUGCGAUGCAUUAGCUAGUUGGUAAGGUAACGGCUUACCAAGGCGAUGAUGCAUAGCCGAGUUGAGAGACUGAUCGGCCACAUUGGGACUGAGACACGGCCCAAACUCCUACGGGAGGCAGCAGUAGGGAAUCUUCCACAAUGGACGCAAGUCUGAUGGAGCAACGCCGCGUGAGUGAAGAAGGUUUUCGGAUCGUAAAGCUCUGUUGUUGGUGAAGAAGGAUAGAGGUAGUAACUGGCCUUUAUUUGACGGUAAUCAACCAGAAAGUCACGGCUAACUACGUGCCAGCAGCCGCGGUAAUACGUAGGUGGCAAGCGUUGUCCGGAUUUAUUGGGCGUAAAGCGAGCGCAGGCGGAUUGAUAAGUCUGAUGUGAAAGCCUUCGGCUCAACCGAAGAACUGCAUCAGAAACUGUCAAUCUUGAGUGCAGAAGAGGAGAGUGGAACUCCAUGUGUAGCGGUGGAAUGCGUAGAUAUAUGGAAGAACACCAGUGGCGAAGGCGGCUCUCUGGUCUGUAACUGACGCUGAGGCUCGAAAGCAUGGGUAGCGAACAGGAUUAGAUACCCUGGUAGUCCAUGCCGUAAACGAUGAGUGCUAAGUGUUGGGAGGUUUCCGCCUCUCAGUGCUGCAGCUAACGCAUUAAG
rnacentral:rRNA from 1 species